rnacentral:rRNA from 1 species
UUUCAAGUCGGGCCUGCCCUAUGAAAUUUAAAUGGCUGCAGUAUAUUGACUGUACAAAGGUAGCAUAAUCAUUAGUUUUUUAAUUGAAAACUUGUAUGAAAGGUUUAAUGAGAAAAUUACUGUCUCAUUUUUAAUUUAUUAAAAUUUUAUUUUUAAUUUAAAAAGAUUAAAUAUUUUAGAAAGACGAGAAGACCCUAUAGAGUUUUAUUGUAAGUUGAAGUAUUAAUUUAUAGAUUUUUAUAUAAUAUUUUUCAGUCAAUUUUAUUGGGGUGAUAUAAAAAUUUAAUGAACUUUUUAUUUAAAUUACAUUAAUUUAUGAAUUAUUUGAUCAUUUUUUAGGAUUAAAAGAAAAAAUUACCUUAGGGAUAACAGCGUAAUUUAUUUUUAAAGUUCUAAUUGGAAAAUAAGAUUGCGACCUCGAUGUUGGAUUAAAAAAUAAAAUUGGUGCAAAAGCUAAAUUUUUAAGUCUGUUCGACUUUUAAAAUUUUACA